GGCAUUCAUCCCAAAAGAAAGAACAAGGAAAGGUCACAGCCAGGGAUCUAAUCAAAACAGAUACAGGGGCGCCUGGGUGGCUCAGUGGGU